rnacentral:rRNA from 1 species
UACGGAGGGUGCAAGCGUUGUCCGGAUUUAUUGGGUUUAAAGGGUGCGUAGGCGGCUUUUUAAGUCAGAGGUGAAAGACCAUCGCUCAACGAUGGAACUGCCUUUGAUACUGAUUAGCUUGAGUGUGAUUGAGGUAGCUGGAAUGGAUAGUGUAGCGGUGAAAUGCUUAGAUAUUAUCCAGAACUCCAAUAGCGUAGGCAAGUUACUAAGUCACUACUGACGCUGAGGCACGAGAGUGCGGGGAUCAAACAGG